ACCAGCAUGGUGGAGUGGUUUGAACAUUGGACUAUGACUCCAGAGACCAGGGUUAGAUUCCCAGCUUGGCC